AGGAAAACAGAGGCUGCUGCUAAAACACCUUCCCCAACCCGUCGUUCUCCAGAGAAAAGAGCUGCUGGAUGGGAUUUACAGCCUGUUGAAAAAGAGAGUGUGAUGGCUACAUCAACUCUUUUCAAUUUGAAUGCUAUGAGCCAAAUAUACUAUGGAGUACCCCACUAUAACUCCUGUGGCUCCUACUGUGGUGAAGCCGAUUGGAAUUUCACUCCAUACCAUAUCUUCACAGCUUCAUGCUGUUGAGUCGAUUCAGCUAACUCAAGCGACAAGACCUAAGAGGAGGCUUUACAUAGAAAACUUGCCUCUUUCAGCAUCUGAGAAAGAUUUAAUAGAAUGCAUAAACAAGCGCUUGUUGUCAUCUGGUGUUAACUAUGUUCAGGGAACCCAGCCCUGUAUUGGCUGUAUAAUACAUAAGGAGAAGAGCCAAGCUCUUUUGGAGUUUCUGACCCCUGAGGAUGCUUCUGCUGCUCUUUCUUUAGAUGGAAUAUCCUUUUCUGGUUCCAACCUUAAACUAAGGCUAAUGUAACUACUGGGUCUUCUGACAAAUCUGUGCCUGAUGUUGUUUCAAUCAGGGGCAUUGUAGAAGAUUCACCCCACAAGAUCUUUGUUGGCAGCAUAUCGAAACUAUUGUCUUCUAGAAUGCUUUUGGAGAUUGCCAGAGCCUUUGGACUCGUGAAAGCAUUCCACUUUGAGCGUAUCGCUGAUACAAAUGAACCGUGUGCAUUUCUUGAGGUACAAUUUUUUAGGGUUGAAGAGAGUUUUGCAAAGCAUAGAGAAAAACUAAGCAGGCAAUAUUCGUGCGUCUUCUGUCUUUACUGUGUUUGCCCUCUUUCAGUUUUCUGGGGAUCUUAAGCUUGAUUUCGGUCUUUUACAUCCAUUUGGAUCUCUCUCUCUCUCUCUUGUGUGUGUGUGGUGAGAAACUAAUUAUAUAUCACCUCAGUAUGUUGAUCAUUUAGUGACUUCAAAGGCUUGUGCUGGUCUUAAUGGCAUGAUGUUGGGUGGACAAGUCCUAACUGCAGUGCUUGCUACUCCAGAACCUGAUUUGGAAAAUGCUGGACAACUGCCAACAUAUGUGAUCCCUGAGCAUGCAAAGCCCCUUAUCAAGAAGCCUACAACUGUUUUAUUAUGUUUGAGUUUUCCUUCUCUCCCUUCAAUUCUAAUCCAUUUUCUAAUGCUUUUAAGUAGCAUCAUAUUACCAAUGCCCUUACAACUUGCAGUUCAAUCCUAAUGAUCCAUUGUCUGAAUCGGAGCUACAAGAAUUAUUGGAAGAUAUAAGGCUGGAGUGUUCCAGGUUGACAUAACUAAAGGUUUAGUGAGGUGAGUGUACUUUUUGUUGUUGCUCAAAUACUUUUCUUAAAUUUCUUUAUACUGUAGGUUUGGUAUGGUGAGAUCUAUAGAUGUUGCCAAGAAAACAAAUGUUGUUGGCACCGUGGAAUGUAACGAGGUACGUAACACAAGUGCUGCUACUGAUGCAUAUUUAAUCCACAUUGUCUACACGGGCGUACCUUCGAUGACCGUGUGGAAUACGUUGGUCACGACUUGCACCAGAUGAGAUUCUGCAGGUAAGAAUGAUAUGGGCAUUGCUAGUUGAUGGUGCGGAACUGAUGCCGAGAAGCAAGCUUUUUCGCGUCGUUAAUAUGUUAUGUUGUUCUUUCUAGUGUGAGAGCCAUCUGAACAUUACGCAUUAUAGCCAUUUGCAUUACUAAGUACCUGAAAGUGGGACAUGUUUGGUUAGACUGUUAUGUAAAACACUCCACAUUUUCUUCAUGAAUAGUUUUUCCUAGAAGAAGAUGAUGGCCUUAUUGUUCUAUCUGUAAUCUCAUACCAAAUCAUUUACUUAGAAAA